AGCGAACGCUGGCGGCAGGCCUAACACAUGCAAGUCGAACGAACUCUUCGGAGUUAGUGGCGGACGGGUGAGUAACACGUGGGAACGUGCCUUUAGGUUCGGAAUAACUCAGGGAAACUUGAGCUAAUACCGAAUGUGCCCUUCGGGGGAAAGAUUUAUCGCCUUUAGAGCGGCCCGCGUCUGAUUAGCUUGUUGGUGAGGUAAUGGCUCACCAAGGCGACGAUCAGUAGCUGGUCUGAGAGGAUGACCAGCCACAUUGGGACUGAGACACGGCCCAAACUCCUACGGGAGGCAGCAGUGGGGAAUCUUGCGCAAUGGGCGAAAGCCUGACGCAGCCAUGCCGCGUGGAUGAUGAAGGUCUUAGGAUUGUAAAAUCCUUUCACCGGUGAAGAUAAUGACUGUAGCCGGAGAAGAAGCCCCGGCUAACUUCGUGCCAGCAGCCGCGGUAAUACGAAGGGGGCUAGCGUUGCUCGGAAUUACUGGGCGUAAAGGGAGCGUAGGCGGA
rnacentral:rRNA from 1 species